UAAAAAAAUAUGUACCAUCUUAUACUACAUAUGACCGUUUUAAAGGGGAAAAAUAUCUUAUUUUUCUUUAUAAUCAUUUAUGAAUAUUGUUAAUCCUUGCAGCUCAAAGACAAAUUGGAGAAACGUCGCUUAAUGAAAUGAGCUCGAGAUCCCACCAUAUUAUUAGAUUGACUAUUGAAAGCUGUUCUCGUGACUUUUUAGGAACGGACAAUGCGAGCACUCUUACAGCUGCUGUGGUAUGGAAUUUAUCUAAUAACAAAAAAAUAAUUGUAUAACAUUAUUUAAUGUUUUUUAAUCGGAAAUUAAUUUUAUCGACAGAAUUUUGUCGAUUUGGCUGGAAGUGAACGAGCAUCUCAAUCGUUAUCAGCUGGCACAAGGUUAAAAGAAGGCUGUCAUAUUAACCGUAGUUUGCUUACACUUGGAACUAUUAUUCGUAAGCUGAGGUAAAGAUCACAUUUUUAUCAAUAUAUCGUAUUCUUUUUUUACGGAUUUAAUUAAAAUAAACGAACCCCAGUUCAGAUUUAGUUUUU